UAUCUCUGUAGAGUCUGCAUAUCAAUAAGCGGAGGAAAAGAAACUAACUAGGAUUCCCUCAGUAACGGCGAGUGAAGCGGGAAGAGCUCAAAUUUGAAAUCUUCAAGGUUCUACCUUGACGAAUUGUAGUUUAAAGAAGUGUUUUCUGUUGGAGUUUUGGUAAAAGUUCUUUGGAAUAGGACAUCAUAGAGGGUGAGAAUCCCGUAUUUGACCAUUAUUUCCAGCUUUGUGAUACACUUUCAAAGAGUCGGAUUGUUUGGGAAUGCAGUCCAAAAUGGGUGGUAAAUUUCAUCUAAAGCUAAAUACUGGCGAGAGACCGAUAGCGAACAAGUACCGUGAGGGAAAGAUGAAAAGAACUUUGAAAAGAGAGUUAAACAGUACGUGAAAUUGUCAAAAGGGAAGCGUUUGACACCAGUGUUGUUUUUCUCGAAAAUCAAUUAAAAAAAGUUGGAUUUUGUAUUGUUAAGACCUUAUCAGCUUACUGUACUCUUUUCUUGCUUUUUUUAAUGCACUUUUCGUUUAACAAGUCAACAUCAAUUUCUUUUGUUGUAAAAGAGUCAUUGGAAGGUGGCUUUCACUUCGGUGAAAGUGUUUAUAGCCUUUGGCUUCUGCAAUCGGAGAGAUUGAGGUCUGCAGCGUAGAUCCUUCGGGGCUAGAUACGUAGAUGCUAAGUUAUAGUUUUUUAUAGACAACUUGUUGACUAUAAUUAAUCAUGUAGCUUACUCGUUUGCGCUAUUUUACCUACGCUUAGGAUGUU
rnacentral:rRNA from 1 species